GAGUUUGAUUCUGGCUCAGGACGAACGCUGGCGGCGUGCCUAAUACAUGCAAGUGGAACGCAUUGAUUUCACCGGAGCUUGCUCCACCGAAAUUAGUGAGUCGCGAACGGGUGAGUAACGCGUAGGUAACCUACCUCUUAGCGGGGGAUAACUAUUGGAAACGAUAGCUAAUACCGCAUAACAAUAGGAUACACAUGUACCCUAUUUAAAAGGAGCAACUGCUUCACUAAGAGAUGGACCUGCGUUGUAUUAGCUAGUUGGUAGGGUAACGGCCUACCAAGGCAUCGAUACAUAGCCGACCUGAGAGGGUGAUCGGCCACACUGGGACUGAGACACGGCCCAGACUCCUACGGGAGGCAGCAGUAGGGAAUCUUCGGCAAUGGGGGGAACCCUGACCGAGCAACGCCGCGUGAGUGAAGAAGGUUUUCGGAUCGUAAAGCUCUGUUGUAAGAGAAGAACGUGUGAGAGAGUGGAAAGUUCUCANCAGUGACGUACUACCGGAAGGA
rnacentral:rRNA from 1 species